CUGCGAUCUCUCUGUCUCUCUGGGACAGAGAAAGUCUGGUGAGUGGCCUCCAAAGUCCAGGGUUGAUAAGUUGAUAACUUGUCUUUCCUGUCUCUCUCUCUCUCUCUCUCUCUCUCUCUCUCUCUCUCUCUCUCUCACACACACACACACACACACACACACACACACACACACACACAGACACAUACACACACGCCACCUUUUUCCCUUAGGACUUCACCUGAUACAUUCCUAACUUCUCUCAUGAAAGCAAAGGAUGUCAAAGACCAGUAUUUCCCAUAAACAUAAACAUUCAUACUAAAAAUUUAAGAACAAUAAUACAUUCAUGAACUGGAAUAAAAGUUAGUGAAGUACUUGGAAAUCGGUCAUUGAAAUUCAUUACUUUAGCACAAUAAAACAGAGAAGCCAUAUUAUUGUCUCGAUGGAAUAGAAUCAACAAAUUCUAUAUUUGUGUGUGCUAAAAAUUGUCAGUAAAUGAAAACUAGAGGAACUCUCCUGAGUACAUUAAAGAAUAUCUGUGAAAACUACAACAAACAUUACACUUAGCACCAAAAUACUGGCUGCUCCCUGGCUGGGGAUGAGACUUAGGCAAGGAUGUAUAUCUUACUGUUUCCAGUUGUCACUGAACGUCGAGGCCAUAACCAGUGCAAUAAAGCAAGGAAAGAAAUAAGUAUCAUGAAUGUAUUUUUUUAUAAAAGGUAAAACUGUCCUUCUUUAUAUACAGCAUGCUUGCUGUAUGUGUUGAGUCAGAGCUCUACUAUUUAAUAUUCUCAUGAUUUGAGACUAAAUAUGUUUUAUAGUAAGCCUACACUAUAAAACGAUGACGUCGAGACUGGGAUGAAAUAAUACAUGUGUGCCCGGCAUUGUGUGGGGCUCAAAAUGUAUCAGUGUUCAUAGUAAUGGUAAGCUAAAUGAUUCUACCUUACCCGGAGUUUAUAUAUCUAUUGAUUUGCAAAAACAUUCUUAUUACACAUUUUAUUUAUGAAUUUUAUAUUUAUGUUCAUGAAGAAUGUUGGUUUGUGAUUUUUUUUCCCUGCUUGUGUUUUGUAAAGUUUUAGUUUCAGAGUCUUCUGGUCUUACAAAAGGAAUUGGGACUACAUCAGCCAACAUUACAUCAGAGAAAGAACUCUAAGACAUAUGUUGCAAAUGUGCUUGUUUGUAGGUCGGUUUUUAUGGGCAUAAUAUAUAUUUUAAUCUCCUUUAAUCCAUCAGCCAACGUUUAGGUCAGUUCUACCUUUGGGCUCAUUUCAUGAGAAACUGAGACAGAGAGGUCCAGCAAUGUGCAUUGUGACCCACUGCUCACAAUUGGCUAGAUCCGAGUAUCAUUGUUUGGCCCCUGUGUCCAAGCGUCUUCCUGCUUCCUAGCCAUGCACCAAAUCAGCUUCCAACUAACCUCGGCAGGCUGUGUUUAUUCCUUGUGUACAGAUAAAAUUAGUUAGUCACAAGCACUUACUCUAACUGUCCAAAUUAACACUGCACAUGUAUCAAAUGGACCCAAACUGUUGCUGAAGGCAGGGGAAGUGGGAGGCGGGAGAUCUAUCUUCAUUCCAAGUGAUGUGGAUCAACGCCAGCCUCCAAGAUUCUUCUUGGAGAUAAAUCAGGGCCGGUACUAAAUGGAGUCUCACCAUAUUCAGUGUCUAAUUUUUGCUGGGAAUAAAGGACACAGCAGCUAAAACAUGACCUGUACUGGAGCCUGUACAAAGUCACUCUGCAUUACUUAACUGCUACAUAUUGGCCCAGAAAUAUUUCAUUAACUACACACUUGCUGUAGAUUCUAUCUAGUUACCAUAGAAACUUUGAAGGAAAAGCUUGUUUUUAACCCUUGGACUAGGUUCGCUACUCAGCUCUAUAGCUCUAUUUAAAGCCGCCCUUGUUAUUUUAAACUCUUCCCUUUCUGCUUGCUUGUUUUCUUCUCCUGCUAGACAGCUCAGUCAAAUUCACUCACGACCUUCAAACCACCACUUACGUGAUUUUCAAGGCACAGUUCCUGAAGAUGAAGAUCUCCUUUAAUCCAUGGGCUAUAGCCCAUGGCGCUUUUGUGUGUUUAUCUGCGGAAUAGACUUCAGCUACCACAAAGUAUUUUGUUUUUGUUUUUGUUUUUUUAAAGUUGAAGUUUCACUUCAUCAAAAAUAAAAACGAACUGUCUUGUUUCUAUUCUCUCUUCAAAUGACUUCCCAUCCAGCCAGGUCUUCACGGAAGGCUUCACGGGUCCCCACCCUACUCCUCAGACAUCUCGUAAGUGGGAAGUGUCUGCUUUCUAGAAGCUCUGAGCCUUCCUGCCCUCCCACCAGCCCUUUCCUCCAGGAGUUGCCAAGUACAGCACUAAGCUUUGCUGGCCUCUGCAGCUUCCCUUCCCUGGGGUGUACAUAUCUCAGAGCACUUUAGAGCCAGUGGACCCCCAGGAAGUGAACUCCUGCCUCCCUCCCUACUAGCGCCCUCUGUUCUCCUGCCUGAUGUCCAUUUGGCCCACAUGGAAAUUCCCAUCUGGUUGUAAUUGACUUUGUACUGCAGGAGAGAGGUGGGUGUUGGACAACUGGGUUGCAUUUAUUAGGGUCAUUCAGGGCCUGGCCUUGUACUAGUUUGGAGGGAAGGUUGAAGACCAGAUGUUGAUCAAUUCCAGAGGCUAACAAGUAUAACCUGGGAGAGUUUAGAAGAUUAUUUUGAGGGUUUUUGAUUUUGGUCAUAGAAGGAGUAGAGGUCAGAUACCACAGCUGAGGGCAACUCCACGUGAACGACAUGCUUCCCCUCAAGGCACAUCCGGUCUUCCGGAGAGAAAGGAGAGGUAGAACCUCUGAGUCCAGGGCAUACCUGCCAUCCAGCUCACUUAACCCCUCAAAGUGAGGAUACAACUUUGGUAUAAUUACCCACCGAGGAGCCUGAAGGAAGCAGGCAGGCACACACUGCGGGGGUGCUGCCCAUUCGUGGGGGCCUUCAUUGUACAACCUCUGCACUGGGGAGCUCCAGAGAAAAGCCGAUGGCUCCCGUCAACAUGGGUGAAAAGGGAACCACCGCACACAGCUCUGUUCUGUGGUUAUCAUCAAACCACUGUGAUACACCAAAUCAGGUGGUGUCUGCCUGCAAGGAAACUCAAAGGUAACCACUGUGGCCAACACCGUGGCUCCAGGAUCUAGAAACCAACAACCUGCCUUCUGUUUCUGACCACAAGUGUCUGGACACCACCCAAUGGUUUUAGGUAUCUCUGUAGAAGAACGCAAAGUCAAAUGUGCACCAGGAUCACGGUCCUCAGAGAGCAUCCCUGCAUUUCUCAGGUUCUAGCAAACCCAGCCGUAUCCUCCCUUUCGUUGAACAGAACAGAUGGCUGAAGCCUUCUCCUGGCCCAGGCUGUGCCUCUGUAUUGCCAAACACGCUGAUGAGCCCUGUCACUCAGCCCAGAGUCGCUAUGAAAACAAAUGCGGAAAUACCUGGACAGCACCAAAGCAACGCAGGCAUUUCCCAGCUCUCCCGCCACAUUGCAGCUGCAUGGGUGACUCCUGACCCAGUGACCCGUGGUGGAAAUGGGUCUGGGCAUGCCCGAUCACUCCAGGUCAGGACUGGCCUGAGUGGACGGGCAGUGCUAAGAGCAGGCAGCAAUGCUGAUUUCAGAUGAAGUUCCCAGUGUGAGGGGGUGAGGGGCCUGGAGCCUGAGGCCUCGGGGCCAGGGUACAGGCUGUUCAGGAGCUAAGUAGACAGCUAAGCACUUAACAUGAGGAACAUGGAGAAGCACCAGCGCAGACUAUAGGAGUCUGAGGACUGCUGCCACCUCGUUUGGGAGCUGCUGCCCGGAAGUGUUUCUAAAGGCACACGAUCUGCUGCAGCACUCUGAACUGAGAAUCACUGAGAGCACAACUGGGCGGGUGGAGAUCUUCCCACAGCCGCUUAGCCUCUUCAGAAGAGGAAAACGAGAGAAGAAAACAUUCGAUUUUCCAAGAAUACCAAUAGCAGCUUCCCUUGGAGGAAACACUUCACGAUACAGAUAUAGUACUUGUUAGCAUGCGACUUUUCCAGCCCAGAACAUGAGCUUCUGCAAGGAGA